rnacentral:rRNA from 1 species
UACAGAGGGUGCGAGCGUUAAUCGGAAUUACUGGGCGUAAAGCGUGCGUAGACGGUUAUUUAAGUCGGGUGUGAAAGCCCCGGGCUCAACCUGGGAAUUGCAUUCGAGACUGAAUAGCUAGGGUACGGUAGAGGGAAGCGGAAUUUCCGGUGUAGCGGUGAAAUGCGUAGAUAUCGGGAGGAACACCGGUGGCGAAGGCGGCAUCCUGGACCGGUAUUGACGCUGAGGCGCGAAAGCUAGGGGAGCAAACGGG